UGCUUAAAGAUAUAAAAAUAAAUCAGACCCUGAGACUUCUCAGAGGGAACCUGCACAUUGCUUGCGAAGGUUCUUUUCUCACUCACCGGCCUAGGACCUCUCCUCUUCCUACCCGGCAUCGACUGCAGCUGGUCUGCGGCAGGGAUCUUCCUACCUCAGCCUCCUGAGUGCUGAAAUUGCAGAGCAUGAGCCACCAUGCCCAGCUAGAAAGCAGAGAGGACCGAUAUUCAGACUAAGGGAAGUCUAGACGAAAUGUGGACUCAGAAUUGAGAGAGGUUGGAACUGGGAGUUGGAAAGACUGAAUUGCUUUGCCAGCUGCCAGAUUUACCAGUCUUCAUCCCUGUUCCUGUCGACUGACAUCAGCGAUUCCAUUGAUACUAAGAAGCCAUCAUUUACAUAUAGGGAAAGGCACAGUUGUACCAGAUAUGUCCAACUUCACAGAAGGGUUGAAAGCAGAGACCCUCCUCUACAUGGAAGAGGGAAUGAGACUGUGAAUAAGUGUGGAAGGAAAUGCGCAGCCCACCCGUGCAUCUGCAGGUUGACCUGACUCGUUCACACAGUGUGUCCAGCUAAUGGAGACACCCACGCCUGUGACCAGACUGUCAAGAUGGUCUAAGCAUGGGCAUUGUCCCCAGGCAAGUGUGCUAAGUACCCUCCCUCUCCACCUACAGCUCCAUUGCUUCAAAAUUUUGCAAAGGCUGUAGUCAAAAAAGACUUAAGCAACCCUUAACCUCGUGUCCUCUGGAAUGAACAAAAUG
rnacentral:lncRNA from 1 species